AAGACUAUACUUUCAGGGAUCAUUUCUACAGUUUGUUACUAGAGAAGUUUCUCUGACUGUGUAGAGCACUAAAAUGCUA
rnacentral:snoRNA from 1 species